GCUACAAUGUAGCUUGCCAUCACCAGUGUGUGAAUGGGUGGAUGACUGGAUGUGUAAAGCGCUUUGGGGUCCUUAGGGACUAGUAAAGCGCUAUACAAAUACAGGCCAUUUACCAUUUAACAACAGACAUUUCUCCUGUACUUCCUUCUGAAAAAACUGAACACAUCAGGACUCUCCCUGUACAGCUGUUUUCUGUAGUGUGAUGAGCUCUGAAACCUGAGUGAAACUCAAACCAUUCCUUUGCAGCUGAUCAGUUAGCUGUUUUACAACUACUCUUUUAAUAUACGUUUUUUUUUUUUUUUUUUUUCCCACAAAGGGAAGGUUGGAGAUUAGAUAAGAAAACUUGGUCACAUCACAAUUUAAUGACUUCCACCUUAAAGGCUGACAGCCUAUUCAAAGUGUACCCACUUCUCUUGACCUGUAACAUCUGGGAUAGGCUCCAGUAAAGAAAAAGCAUGGAGGCAGUUUCUCAGUGUGCUUUAUUGAUGUUACCUUAGCCAUCAUCAACAAAAAUGGUUUAAAUCAGAUUACUGCCACUAAUAAUUACUGAAAGACCAUGUACACAGCAUCAUCUGGAAUUAUUCUCUUGUACUGAUCAACUAACUAUUCAGCAAUUUAGAAACAUGAAUGUGAUAAGAUAACCCCUUGUUCAAAUUUCCUACUCUUCCGUGCAUGCUAGAAAGCCAUCAGAAACACCAAUGACCAUAACACUAAAAAUAUGUAAUAAAUCAUGUCAUGUCAUCAGUCAUGUGGCUUUGUGCCAACGCUACAACUAAAUGGUCUCUCUCUCGGCCCCAUGUGAACCCCUACAUCUGACACUUUAACCUUAAUAUUAUUAUUAUUUUUUUUUUUUUUACAAAAGCUGCAAACUGUUUGUCCUGUCCUAUGUGUCUUAAGUAAUCUGUUUUGGUUUAUUAAAAUAUUUUACUUGUUUUACGUCUAAUUUUACAAUGAAAUGGUUUCUCUGGUGUGUGAAAUCGCUUUUUUCCAUUUGCACCACUGUUUACAAGUUUAGAUUCAGAGUUUAACAAUGGUUUCUGCCAUUUACCAUCAUCUUCAUUGCUGCUGCCUUCAGUUUCAGAUCCAGAUUCUGAUGAAGGUCCAUGCAAGUUAUAAUUAUCAACACUGCUGCUGCUUUCCGUUUCAGAUCCAGAUUCUGAUGAAGAUCCGUUCAAGUUAUAAUUAUCAAUGCUGCUGUCUUCAGUUUCAGAGCCAGAUUCUGAUGAAGAUCCAUGCAAGUUAUAAUUAUCGAUGCUGCUAUCUUCAGUUUCAGAGCCAGAUUCUGUUGAAGAUCCAUGCAAGUUAUAAUUAUCAAUGCUGCUGUCUUCAGUUUCAGAUCCAGAUUCUGACAGAGAUUGAUGCAGGUUAGAAUUUUUACUCUUGCCAUCUUCAGUUUCAGGUUCAGAAGCAGACAAUGGCUCCUGCCAAUAAUUAUCACAAUCACCACCCACAGCAACAUCUUUAGUCUCGGUGAAGUCUGAAGCCUGUACAUUAGUAUUCUGUGGUAAACAGCUACUGUGAUGAGCGUUCCUAGCCUGUUUGCUUGCUCCAUCGUCCUCAGUUUCUGUUUUCAUUCGUUUACCUGAUCCUCUGUUUUGUGUCUGCGCUUGCCUGUUUUUGAGAGGUGGGCCUUGAUAAGGUUGUGGGGACUGCGGUUUCUUUUCAUCAUUUUCACUCUUCACAUGAACAGAAGUGAGCAGGAACCCAGCGAUAUCAGCCUCCUUUAUCCUAUUAAGAUUCACUUCAACCUCUUCGCCAUUUAUGUGAUGUUCCUCCUGCUCCUCCUUUAUUUGGCGUUCUUUGUGUUCGUCUUUUAAGUGGCAUUCUUCCUGCUCCUCCUUUUCGUGGCGCUCCUCCUGCUGAUUUAUUAUACGACGCUGCUCCAGAUCCGUCUCUAUAUGACGCUCCUCCAGCUCCGUCUCUAUACAAUGCUCUUCCAGCUCCGUCUUUAUACGACGCUCCUCCUGCUCCUCCUCUAUACGACGCUCCUCCUCUAUACGACGCUCCUCCAGCUCCAUCUUUAUACAACGCUCCUCCUGCUCCUCCUCUAUAUGACGCUCCUCCAGCUCCAUCUUUGUGGGCCCUUCUUCCUGUUUUUUCUUUAGCUGGAGAUGAUCUAUGACCCACCGUUUCAGACCAGCAUUUAAUUGAGGUGGAGCAUCUUGGGCAU
ensembl:lncRNA